rnacentral:rRNA from 1 species
GUAGGUGGCAAGCGUUGUCCGGAAUUAUUGGGCGUAAAGCGCGCGCAGGCGGUUCUUUAAGUCUGAUGUGAAAGCCCACGGCUCAACCGUGGAGGGUCAUUGGAAACUGGAGAACUUGAGUACAGAAGAGGAAAGCGGAAUUCCACGUGUAGCGGUGAAAUGCGUAGAGAUGUGGAGGAACACCAGUGGCGAAGGCGGCUUUCUGGUCUGUAACUGACGCUGAGGCGCGAAAGCGUGGGGAGCAAACAGGGAUUAGAUACCCUGGUAGUCCACGCCGUAGACGAUGAGUGCUAAGUGUUAGGGGGUUUCCGCCCCCCUUAGUGCUGCAGCUAACGCAUUAAGCACUCCGCCUGGGAGUACGGCCGCAAGGCUG